rnacentral:rRNA from 1 species
GACGAACGCUGGCGGCGUGCCUGAUACAUGCAAGUAGAACGCACAGUUUAUACCGUAGCUUGCUACACCAUAGACUGUGAGUUGCGAACGGGUGAGUAACGCGUAGGUAACCUGCCUGGUAGCGGGGGAUAACUAUUGGAAACGAUAGCUAAUACCGCAUAAUAUUAAUUAUUGCAUGAUAAUUAAUUGAAAGGUGCAAUUGCACCACUACCAGAUGGACCUGCGUUGUAUUAGCUAGUAGGUGAGGUAACGGCUCACCUAGGCGACGAUACAUAGCCGACCUGAGAGGGUGAUCGGCCACACUGGGACUGAGACACGGCCCAGACUCCUACGGGAGGCAGCAGUAGGGAAUCUUCGGCAAUGGACGAAAGUCUGACCGAGCAACGCCGCGUGAGUGAAGAAGGUUUUCGGAUCGUAAAGCUCUGUUGUAAGAGAAGAACGGGUGUGAGAGUGGAAAGUUCACACUGUGACGGUAUCUUACCAGAAAGGGACGGCUAACUACGUG